rnacentral:rRNA from 1 species
GCAUUCCCGGGGCGUCUCUAUCUCAUUGCGAGAGGAGGCGCACCCAGAGCGUACACGCUGAUACCCGAAAGAUGGUGAACUAUGCCUGGCCAGGACGAAGCCAGGGGAAACCCUGGUGGAGGUCCGCAGCGAUUCUGACGUGCAAAUCGAUCGUCGGAGCUGGGUUUAGGGGCGAAAGACCAAUCGAACCAUCUAGUAGCUGGUUCCCUCUGAAGUUUCCCUCAGGAUAGCUUGCACUCGGUUGAGACGAGUCUCAUCCGGUAGAGCGAAUGAUUAGAGGCCUUGGGGUCGAAACGACCUCAACCUAUUCUCAAACUCCAAAUAGAUGAGAACCCCGGCUUUCUUGAACUCAAUUGUUUUGAAGCCGGGGAAUUCGGAUCAGAGUGCCAAGUGGGCCAAUUUUGGUAAGCAGAACUGGCGCUGUGGGAUGAACCAAACGCGGGGUUAAGGCGCCUCAAUCGACGCUCAUGUGAGACCAUGAAAGGCGUUGGUUGCUUAAGACAGCAG